UGGGGAAUAUUGCACAAUGGGGGAAACCCUGAUGCAGCGACGCCGCGUGAACGAAGAAGGUAUUCGUAUCGUAAAGUUCUGUCCUAUGGGAAGAUAAUGACAGUACCAUAGAAGAAAGCUCCGGCUAAAUACGUGCCAGCAGCCGCGGUAAUACGUAUGGAGCGAGCGUUGUCCGGAAUUAUUGGGCGUAAAGGGUACGCAGGCGGUUUAAUAAGUCGAAUGUGAAAGAUCGGGGCUCAACCCCGCAAAGCAUUGGAAACUGAUAAACUUGAGUAGUGGAGAGGAAAGUGGAAUUCCUAGUGUAGUGGUGAAAUACGUAGAUAUUAGGAGGAAUACCAGUAGCGAAGGCGACUUUCUGGACACAAACUGACGCUGAGGUACGAAAGCGUGGGGAGCAAACAGG
rnacentral:rRNA from 1 species